rnacentral:miRNA from 2 species
AGUUGCCUACAUGGAGCGCCA